CCAAAUUUUUGAUUUACCACCUACAAAUCUCAAAGUUUUAAAUAACCACCUAAAUUUUUUUUUUUUUCUUUUUUCACCACCUGUUAACAGAACAGUUAAUAGGCGUUAAGUGAGGCCCACCCCCAACGGCUAGCUUCCUCGUGCCUUUCUUAUUCAUCAGAUUGACAUUAACUUCUUCCUUCCCCUUCAACUGCUCUUCGAAUUUUUCAUGAAAUUCACAAAUUUCCAUAAAAAAACUUGAAAUUGAUUGAGGGAUUUCGUUAGUUUUUUAUUUUCGAGUAAUCUUUUGGGCGAAAGAAGAAGAAUCAAGGUACAAUAAGAAUCGAGCUGAUGUCUACAUCGAAAUUUUCACCUUCAAAAGAGAAAAAAUGUGCCUGUGGAGUUCCAUUUGCCAUGUUAACUGGUUGGACUAGGGAGAAUCCGGGGAGAAAAUUCAGGUCAUGCAAAUUCUACGAUCCAAUCACAGAAAAACGGGGAUGCAAAGCUUUUGAAUGGGUGGAUGAACCGGAUGGGACAACUUGGCAAACACAAGUUAUCAACAAUCUGUUGUUGGAUAAGAAACUGAUGAAGAGGGAUAUUGAUGAUUUGCGUGGGCAAAGGAGGUGUUUGCUGAAUGAAAUUGAUGGUUUGAAGGUGAAAAACAGGGCUUUAAGUUCUGAUGGAAAGAAGAUGAACAUGGAAGUGAAUACCUAUUUUAUUAUUGUUGCAAUUUGUUGUUUUUUCUUGAUCUUGGGAAUGUUUUUAGUAAAUAAGUUAGGCUAAUACAGUUGGUUAAGGUAAGAUAAGUCAUGCUCAAAUGAAACAGAGCAUUUAGGUUGUUGAAAUGGCUUGAAAAAUGUAAGCUUUUGGUGUUUGAAUGUAAGCUUUUGGUGUUUGAAUGAAAUAAAACUUAGUUUCUUAUUAAA